rnacentral:rRNA from 1 species
GCUUACGGCCACACCGGCCUGAGUACGCCUGAUCCCGUCCGAUCUCGGAAGCUAAGCAGGGUCGGGCCUGGUUAGUACUUGGAUGGGAGACCGCCUGGGAAUACCAGGUGCUGUAAGCU